rnacentral:rRNA from 1 species
UGCCAGCCGCCGCGGUAAUACGGAGGGGGUUAGCGUUGUUCGGAAUUAUUGGGCGUAAAGAGCAUGUAGGCGGACUGCUAAGUCUGAUGUGAAAGCCCGGGGCUCAACCCCGGAAGUGCAUUGGAUACUGGCAGUCUUGAGUAUGGGAGAGGAAAGUGGAAUUCCGAGUGUAGGGGUGAAAUUCGUAGAUAUUGGGAAGAACACCAGUGGCGAAGGCGGCCACCUGGCUCGAUACUGACGCUGAGGUGCGAAAGCGUGGGUAGCGAACAGGAUUAGAUA